rnacentral:rRNA from 1 species
AUUGAACGCUGGCGGCAUGCUUUACACAUGCAAGUCGAACGGCAGCAUGGGUGCUUGCACCUGAUGGCGAGUGGCGAACGGGUGAGUAAUGUAUCGGAACAUAUCCGCAAGGGGGGGAUAACGUAGCGAAAGUUACGCUAAUACCGCAUAUUCCCUGAGGGGGAAAGGAGGGGAUCCGCAAGGACCUUUCGCUUACGGAGUGGCCGAUAUCAGAUUAGCUAGUUGGUGAGGUAAAGGCUCACGAAGGCGACGAUCUGUAGCGUGUCUGAGAGGAUGAUCCGCCAGAUUGGGACUGAGACACGGCCCAGCCUCCUACGGGAGGCAGCAGUGGGGAAUUUUGGACAAUGUGGGCAACCCUGAUCCUGCCAGGCCGCGUGAGUGAAGAAGGCCUUCGGGUUGUAAAGCUCUUUCAGCCGGAAAAAAAUCGCAUCACCUAAUACGUGGUGUGGAUGAUGGUACCGGAAGAGGAAGCACCGGCUAACUACGUGCCAGCCGCCGCCGUAAGAC